rnacentral:rRNA from 1 species
GACAGAGGGUGCAAGCGUUGUUCGGAAUCAUUGGACGUAAAGGGCGCGUAGGCGGUUUUGUAAGUCGAAUGUGAAAGCCCAGGGCUCAACCUUGGAAGUGCAUCCGAAACUGCGAAACUUGAAUCCUGGAGAGGGUGGUGGAAUUCCCAGUGUAGAGGUGAAAUUCGUAGAUAUUGGGAGGAACACCGGUGGCGAAGGCGACCACCUGGACAGAGAUUGACGCUGAGGCGCGAGAGCGUGGGGAGCAAACAGG